rnacentral:misc_RNA from 1 species
GAUGAAGAACGUAGCGAAAUGCGAUAAGUAAUGUGAAUUGCAGAAUUCAGUGAAUCAUCGAAUCUUUGAACGCACAUUGCGCCCCCUGGUAUUCCGGGGGGCAUGUCUGUCCGAGCGUCAUUACAACCCUCAAGCUCAGCUUGGUAUUGGGCCCCGCCGACCCGGCGGGCCCUAAAGUCAGUGGCGGUGCCGUCCGGCUCCGAGCGUAGUAAUUCUUCUCGCUCUGGAGGUCCGGUCGUGUGCUCGCCAGCAACCCCCAAUUUUUUUCAGGUUGACCUCGGAUCAGGUAGGGAUACCCGCUGAACUUAAGCAUAUCAAUAAGCGGAGGA